CAAGCACCACUCUCCAGGUCCAGCCGGUUCGCAUCGCACAGGGAUAGCAUGAAGGGUGAGCCACGCCUCUUUCUCCUUCCCUUAUCCAUUUUCCUUUCUUCUAGCCAUGUUCGUUUCAUUUCCUCCCCAAAUCCGGCAGGGAUAGGCCACCGCUGCCGCGAUUGCAGCCGAAGGCGAAGGGCGGGAGCGCGGGAUCCGCAUCUCGUCACCGGCGCAGGUACAGUAGCCCGCCUUUUUUGCCUCGCAUCUCCUGCUUUCCCAUUUUUUCCCUGCCGUGGUCGGAUCCUCCGUGAUUGGCUCGCCGAAGAGGGGUUCUAGGUUUUCCGGUGGAUGUCCAGCGAGUACGAGGUAGCUUUCGCGAAAGGCGUCGCCCGCGACUACCUGGUUAACUCCAGUGAUUUGGGGAGUUCCUGUUUUGUCAGGGGGAGUCGAGGGUGCGUGUUCUAGGGGAUACGGGUUUCAUGGCGAUUCACCUCCAUAUCACGCAAAUUCAGCGAGGUAUUCCAGCGUGUUGCCUCCGGCCAAACCGCCUGAUCUGGCAUGGCGAUUUUUUGAUUUUUUUAGCGGUGAUUUGAGUUGGAAUAGAAGGAAGGGAGUACAUAAGAGUACUGAGAGGAUAGUUCUGAUGUUUUUGCUCAACCCUCUCAAAAUACAUCCGUGUGGUUUCUCUGUUUUCUCAUAAGUUGCAUGCAUAUAUGUAACCAGUUGGCUGGUUUGUUCUCGUAGCUGCAGAAAAACGCAAAUGUAGUUGGAUUACACAUAUACAUAUCUCAUUUGGCUAGCCAACUUAUGGAGUUGCACAAUGAUGGCUAACCAAUUGCACAAUGGAUGGUAUUCAGAUGGAUACAUUGUGUAAACCAUGUUCAAAGAGUAUGUGUGUUUUUUGGUUGCACACUCAUGGGUGCUCUGUUGUGAAGGGUAUGCGUUCAUACAGGAGUUUGCAAAAUCAAAGCAGUACAUAUCCUAGUUGGCUUAGUCACACUUAUGCAGUUGUACAUGAUAGGGCUAUGUAGUUGCAUGGCUGGAGGCUAGUUUAGUUAUGGCUCAUAUGCCUAAAUCAUGAUUAGUUAGUGUGUAUGCAGAUUUUUUGGUUGCACACUCAUGUGUGCCCUGUUGGCCAUACAAUGCAUCAGGUUGCACACAUAUUGUUUUGUUUCGUAGGUGUGCUUUGAAAAAUCAACAUUACUUGUUUAAAUCAUGGCAUUAUUUUGAUAUCAAUUUUUCCCUCAUUUUUCUCUUUUAUACAUAUGGUUGCUUUGACUAAUUUGUUCGUUUGCUUUUUUAACAGACCAAAAAUGGUUGUAGAAGGAGAUGCGGCUCCUAGUGAAGGAGAGGUAUGUUUGCUUUUUCACCGUUUUUCAUUUAUCCUUGUAGAAGUUUUGUUUUGCAAUUAUAAUAACUAUUUUUUGGAGGGUUUUCCUGACCAUGUUCUGGAUUUUGUUUGUUCUAUGCAGGGAUCUGCAAACCAUUCUUCUAGGUAGAACUCGAAACGGCCCACCGAGCGGCAGACGCGUCGUGUUGAUAUCGACGGGGAGGCAGAGGAUGAUGAGGCAAGUAUCGAGCAACCAGUGUGUGUGCAUUUCACUUUUUUGCGCGCGCGCACACACACACAUACACACACACAGAGAGAGAGAGAGAGAGAGAGAGAGAAGUAACUUUUUCCAUGCAUCCUUUAGGUUGCUUACCAAUUCCGCUUUGUGAAAUGGUGUAAACGGAAGGCGACCACGCAGGCUCGAGUUGUAGAUGGAGCCGGCACAUCGUCUGAAGUAGCUGCUGAGGUAACAUGAAAUGACAUUAGGGUUUUUUCUACUAUUUUUUUCUACACAAAGAAACCUAGGGUGUGGUAUUUUACACAGUUGCACAAGAACCAGCUAGGUGUUGGGUUGGCAUCCUGAACUUUUAUAGUUGCACAAGAAUGAAUUAGGAGUUGGUAUCCUCAACUUUUCAAAUAGUUGCACAACAAUAUCGUACGAGUUGGCAUCCUAGACUUUCAUAGAUGCACCAGAACCAUUUGGGAGUUGGCAGUCUCAACUUUUUAAAUAGUCCCACAACAAUAUCACAUGAGUUGGCAUCCACAACAAUUUUAGUUGCACAAGAACCAAUCGGUAGUUGGCAUGCCCAACCUUUUUUAAUAGUUUCACGGCAAUGCCACAUGAGUUGGCAUCUUCAACUUCUUUAGUUGCACAAGAACCAUUCAGUAGUUGGCAUCCUUAUGUGUACACAUGAAUCUGAUUUUCUAGGUUUGCAGAUGCACUUGAAUGUAGUUGCACUACUUAUUUGGUAGAUUAUAAUCUUUUAAAAUUCAAUAUUUUUCAUUUUGUGUUCAGACAUGCUAAAUUCAUGUUCAUCAGUUCAAAAUUCAUUACAUAGUUGCAGAAACCUGCAACAUGAAUUGCAUCCAGGAGUACUAACAAUUGCGCAAAAUAGAUGAUGAAGUUGUACAACAGCCAGCAUAAAGUGUUUUUGGAAUUCAGCAUACAGAAGUUUAGCUAAAACCAAAAUGAAUACGAAAUUAUAUGAGUUGGCAUCUUCUAAUUCUAUAUGAGUUGAAGAUGCCAACUACUGAAAUCCAAACACCACAAGUAGAUGGAUAUGGGAGUGUUGUCAAUUUGCACACUUGUACUUUAAGUUGCACAAACACAAGCGAGAGUUGGUUCAUUUCUUCUCAGGCUUCUUUUUUGUAUCACUAGCAAUGUGCCCGUGCGUUGCAACGGAUCCAAAGUAGAAUAGUACUUGUUCACAAACUUGAAAGAAAACACUCUUGUUUUGAUAUACAUAUAUACCACUAAAAAUAUAUUACGUUUCACUCAAAAUAUAUUUCUCAGGUUGUUUUGAUGAGGCGAGGGAGGGAUGUGUUUGCUUUCAAGAUAAUAAGGGGUUUCUUCAAAUUGGAGCAGAGAAGUGGGCUAUUGUUGCAAAAAUGCCACAACUUACCUCGCAGCCAUUAGAUGUAGAUCUAAUGGUCAGAAAUGACGGAUGGCAGACACACCAUCAUCACCAACUGAGUCUUUUAUAGGAGUAGAGAUAUGCAGGUUUUACAGGGUAUGGGGGUGGAUGAGCUGCUGUAGAUUUUUGCUCACAAUUCUAAGCUACAAAGUCAUGUAUACUAGUGUGUGGAAAGAUCAAAGGAAAAAACACAUGCAAACCAGAUUCUUGUCUAGUUGGUAGCUAUGUUUUCAUAUUACCUACAAUAUACUUUUCUUUUCUUUUCCUUUUUUGCUACAUAGACAUUGGUUCUUCUGAAUUAUGUGUGAAAUAAGACUCUCUAUGUCCUCUCUCCUAUAUGUUGGCACAUUUUCUGCGUUUUGUUGCACACAUUGUUGCAAAAGUUGGCUAGUCCCAUGAUGAAGUUGCA
rnacentral:lncRNA from 1 species